rnacentral:rRNA from 1 species
CAGUAGCCGCGGUAAUACGAAGGGUGCAAGCGUUACUCGGAAUUACUGGGCGUAAAGCGUGUGUAGGUGGUUGUUUAAGUCUGUCGUGAAAGCCCUGGGCUCAACCUGGGAAUUGCGAUGGAUACUGGGCGACUAGAGUGCGGUAGAGGAUAGUGGAAUUUCCGGUGUAGCAGUGAAAUGCGCAGAUAUCAGGAGGAACACCGAUGGCGAAGGCAGGUCUCCGGGCAUUAACUGACGCUGAGGCACGAAAGCGUGGGGAGCAAACAGGAUUAGAUACCCGCGUAGUCCCUGUCUCUUAUAC